ACAAGUAUGGCCUAAAGGAGACCGAGGGGGUGGCCGGAUCCACACCCUGGAAGCUGGGGGGCUCCCGGGGAGCCGAGGGGGCACCCGGGCACCCAUCCCAGGUGGGUGCCCACCCACGUCCCCCACCGCACGACAGCUCCCAUCGACUCCCAACUUUGCUUGGGAUGCUCCAAGCCAGUCUGAAGGAGCCCCUCCAAAUCCAUCCUGCUGCAAGGUUUUUCCCGCACAACCCGCUGCUCCCUGCCUAUUUUUUCCCUCCCCGAGGAUGAAACGGUGCUGAGCAUCCUCUGAGCGGUCGGGAUUUGGGCAGGGUGAAGAGCAGAAGGAGAAGGACUCCCCCUCGCUGCCCUCCAGCGGAACAGCAGCGUUGACCAAAGCCUUGACAACUGAACCCAAAAAAGAUGCGUGGGAUCUCCUGGAGUGCCGCUCGGCGCCCCUUUGAUGCUGCACGACCUGGGAUCCAGCAGGGUAUAGGAGUACCCGUACUAUCGUCUCUUCCUUUCUCAUGUUUUCUCUAAUAAAUUUCAUCUUAAAUGAUA